UACGGUGGGAGCAAGCGUUGUUCGGAUUUACUGGGCGUAAAGGGCGCGUAGGCGGCCACCGCAAGUCAGUUGUGAAAUCUCUGGGCUUAACCCAGAAAGGUCAACUGAUACUGCGGGGCUAGAGUGCAGAAGGGGCAACUGGAAUUCUCGGUGUAGCGGUGAAAUGCGUAGAUAUCGAGAGGAACACCUGCGGCGAAGGCGGGUUGCUGGGCUGACACUGACGCUGAGGCGCGAAAGCUAGGGGAGCGAACGGG
rnacentral:rRNA from 1 species